rnacentral:rRNA from 1 species
UACGAAGGGGGGCUAGCGUUGUUCGGAAUUACUGGGCGUAAAGCGCACGUAGGCGGAUCGAUCAGUCAGGGGUGAAAUCCCAGAGCUCAACUCUGGAACUGCCUUUUGAUACUGUCGAUCUGGAGUAUGGAAGAGGUGAGUGGAAUUCCGAGUGUAGAGGUGAAAUUCGUAGAUAUUCGGAGGAACACCAGUGGCGAAGGCGGCUCACUGGGUCCAUUUACUGACCGCUGAGGG